rnacentral:rRNA from 1 species
GAGGACCUACGGGGGGCAGCAGUGGGGAAUAUUGGGCAAUGGGCGCAAGCCUGACCCAGCAACGCCGCGUGAAGGAAGAAGGCUUUCGGGUUGUAACCUUCUUUUCUCAGGGACGAAGAGAGUGACGGUACCUGAGGAAUAAGCCACGGCUAACUACGUGCCAGCAGCCGCGGUAAUACGUAGGUGGCAAGCGUUAUCCGGAUUUACUGGGUGUAAAGGGCGUGUAGGCGGGACUGCAAGUCAGAUGUGAAAACCACGGGCUCAACCUGUGGCCUGCAUUUGAAACUGUAGUUCUUGAGUACUGG